CCUACGGGUGGCAGCAGUAGGGAAUUUUCGGCAAUGGGGGGAACCCUGACCGAGCAACGCCGCGUGAACGAAGAAGUUAUUCGUAAUGUAAAGUUCUUUUAACAGAGAAGAAAGAGAGAUUUGACGGUACCUGAAGAAUAAGCUCCGACUAACUACGUGCCAGCAGCCGCAGUAAUACGUAGGGAGCGCGCGUUAUCCGGAAUUAUUGGGCGUAAAGGGUGCGUAGAUGGCAUAGUAAGUCUUUUGUAAAAAGGCUGGGCUAAACCAAGUAGGGCAAAAGAUACUGCAAAGCUAGAGUAUGACAGAGGCAAGUGGAAAUACAUGUGUAGCGGUAAAAUGCGUAAAUAUAUGGAAGAACACCAGUGGCGAAGGCGGCUCGCUGGGUCGAUACUGACACUGAGGCACGAAAGCGUGGGGAGCAAACAGGAUUAGAUACCCCGGUAGUC
rnacentral:rRNA from 1 species